rnacentral:rRNA from 1 species
GGAUUAGAUACCCUGGUAGUCCACGCCGUAAACGAUGAGAACUAGAUGUUGGGAGGGUUGCCUCUCGGUGUCGCAGCUAACGCGUUAAGUUCUCCGCCUGGGGAGUACGCCGGCAACGGUAAAACUCAAAGGAAUUGACGGGGACCCGCACAAGCGGUGGAGCAUGUGGUUUAAUUCGAUGCAACGCGAAGAACCUUACCUGCCCUUGACAUCCUCAGAACUUGUUAGAGAUAACUUGGUGCCUUCGGGAAUUGAGUGACAGGUGCUGCAUGGCUGUCGUCAGCUCGUGCCG